rnacentral:rRNA from 1 species
AGUGAACGCUGGCGGUAGGCCUAACACAUGCAAGUCGAACGGCAGCACAGUAAGAGCUUGCUCUUACGGGUGGCGAGUGGCGGACGGGUGAGGAAUACAUCGGAAUCUACUUUUUCGUGGGGGAUAACGUAGGGAAACUUACGCUAAUACCGCAUACGACCUACGGGUGAAAGCAGGGGAUCUUCGGACCUUGCGCGAUUGAAUGAGCCGAUGUCGGAUUAGCUAGUUGGCGGGGUAAAGGCCCACCAAGGCGACGAUCCGUAGCUGGUCUGAGAGGAUGAUCAGCCACACUAGAACUGGGACACGGUCCAGACUCCUACGGGAGGCAGCAGUGGGGAAUAUUGGACAAUGGGCGCAAGCCUGAUCCAGCCAUACCGCGUGGGUGAAGAAGGCCUUCGGGUUGUAAAGCCCUUUUGUUGGGAAAGAAAAGCAGCAGGUUAAUACCCCGCUGUUCUGACGGUACCCAAAGAAUAAGCACCGGCUAACUUCGUG